rnacentral:lncRNA from 1 species
CGCAAUAGAAAAUAUACACUUAUUUUUCUCAAAAGCGCUGAAUCCCGCCUCGCAAGCUCGGCGGGAGGGAGAGAGGAACCCACACUCCUCUCAACCCUAGGAAAUCCACCUCCUUUGUAAAAGUGCUAACACCAACAAGUGUUCACCACCAAAGUGCAUGUGUGUUAGCUUUUCACAAACAUUUUCACCAAAGGAGUUAAG